rnacentral:lncRNA from 1 species
ACAGAUUGGCAGAGCGAUCAUAUGCGGAAGACGCACCGUUUUGGAGGUAAGAGCCGUAUUUGGUAGCAGAGAGGUGCAUCUUGAUGUCGUCAAGGUUUUCACACUGGCACAGAUUGUUGUAAUCGGCGGUGGUGAGAAGCCCAGCACGGUGGCCCCUCACGAUCGCCUCCAAGUACCCGCCAUGGAUGUUGAACGUAAGCGCUUCGAAUCCGUACAUCCUUCUCUCCUUAACCUUCCGGAGAAUUACAGGAUAUUCAGAUCUCAAAGAACUUCUCGGGAGAUCUGAAGAAAAAAGAAAUUGAAGCAGAGAUCGACGCGAAGAAGAUAGCUGUGAAAUUGAUUGAUUAGUUUGCGAACUCGUCCGUGGCACGUUGAAACUACGAUUUUAUCCUUAGCACCGGUCUGCUAAAUCCAAGAAGAUAGUAGCUUUUUAAACCGUUCUAUUAAACCGAAGAAUGUAGCCUGCAAAAUUGAGAUUCCGAUAUUGUUUUUGGGUCUCGGCUUCAGAUGAACCAAAUGAUCAAUGGUGUUUUCGCCUUUUUUGGGUAAACUCUUGAAAAAUAGUCUACACUUGAAUAACUCGAAGUCUAUGAACUUUUUUACAAAUUUAAAAUUGAUUGCCAAUCAAAUAUAGCAUUUCGAGGAUUACAGUAGUUUACUGGAUGCAAAAUAUGGCAACAAAAAAAGACGAAUAAAUAGGAGAGAUUCUUAUUGGGAAAUUUUCAUACAUGCACUCUCACUCAGACAUAACAAUGAAUGUAAAACUGCAGAUUGUACAUGCAGAUUUCUCUGGUAAAAAAGGAGCAAUGAAGAAACCACCAACAACAAAAUUGGUUCUUUCUUCGUACUCUCCAAUAUUAAGACAUUACACUUCUAUGUGUUUCAACACUUCUUGCCAGACUCAGAACAUGUAAACGACACUGUCGUGGAUCCUCGACUUCUGGUUCUGUGCAACACACUCGGAUAUCCACAUCAGAUUCCUGAUCUCCUGCUCUCUCAACCUCAUAUACGCAAAGAAUACCGCAUAAUGGAACUGCAAACUCAGGUUUAAACAGCCACUGUUAGUCUUAGACAUGGGUCUAGAAACAGCUAUAACAACACAUCAUGUUAGGGGAAAGGGGAAACAAACCUGCUGCUCAAAGGCUAAGCAAAGCCUUCUGACUUCUUCUUCAUAAAACGCCUUGUCGAGCAUCUGGCUCUCUCCAUAAGACAUCUUGGAGAAUAUUGCUUGAUACGGAGGGUAUUUCUCCAUAACACCACGAACCUAUCAGUGAAUGAUAAUGAGAUUCAUUGAGCCAUAUUUUAAAACUUUAAUAUGUUUAUAAUAUAUCAGCUUGCGGAUCUAGCUACCUGAUCUAUAUCCUCGCAAAUAGCAAGCUCCUCGUGACCAUAUGGAUAGCUGUUAAAAGAAAUAUCAAAACCAUGGUGAUGGAAACCACUUUAGAAUAUUAUGCAAUCACUGAAUGGAAUUAUCAUUUGACUGUGGAAUUCUUCUUACAGGAGACCAAAGUUAGAGUACAGUUUCUUCCUGUCUUCUCUUGUGAGCUCAGUGCCAAUGCUGCACAGAAAAGAAAACCCAGUUUCAGUGCCAAUAUGAACAAAGCAACACUAUCAUGCGGAAGAUAUACAGCAGUAGUUACUAACCUAUUGAUGGUGAUAUUCACAGCUCUUCUGUCAGCUUCGAAGGCCAAAAGGUCAGACAUUAUCUCUGCUGUUGCCCCACCAAGUUUCUGUUUUGGAUACCCGACAAAAAGAUGGGGUUAGCUAGUAUAGGUGGAUUCUGAAUUUUUUUCAGAAAGUUUAGGAGUCGACUAGCACCUGACAGAACUUGUAAAAAUCCUCAAGGUAUGCUUUGUAGAGGGUAUUCCUCAUAAUCUCAAUGUUCAUGUCAUCAAGAUCCUACAAAAAAUAAACACUAUAAGAUUUGUACGUGAUAUAACAAUGGCACAAAACUGAAAACAAAAAACUACAAAUGAUAAAAAGUUUCAGUUUUGUACCUCCGAGGUUAAACAUUCAGAAAAGUACGGAGCAAGAGGAGUGUCCACAAGCACCAACCUGUAGAGUUCCCGCAUGUUCUGAGCAACUGCUAGUGUAGCAAUACUGGAAAACAGAAAGCAAUGAGAAAAACAUAAAGGUGAAAAAGAAAAGCGGUCUGAAGCAGCUACGGGAUGAGGUCUAGAAGAUGCAAAAGGUCGAUUCGAGUACCUGUCAAACAUGCCUAAAGGGUGACAUUUCUCGAUCAAUUCUUGAACAUCUCUCUCGUGCAGGGUUCCAGUAACAAUCAACACGACAUUGUCAAUCAUGUGGCCAUAUCUGCAUUACAAUAGUAAAAGAACAAACCCAAAAUCUCAAAGGGCAGCUAGCAUUUGAAGAAAAACAGAAUGACCAUAAUCUUUCCGUUAAACAUAGGGAAACGAAUAAUUGCUCAGUUUUGUUGCAGUCUCGGCAAAGGUAAAACUUUUAGGGAAGCAACAAUUCUUACAUUAUGAUGUACAUUGAGAAGGAUUUUGGCAACAAACUUACCUACCUUAAUUCUGGAAACUAAAAGAUGGGCCACCAAAGACAACAAUGUAGCAACCAUCCCCUAUUGAUCUAGAAUCAUGAUUUUACGGAAAAUGAGGAAUGCCUCGCUAACCUGAUGUACUCUAAGAAGGUUGACAUAGGCUCAGUUGCUUGGCAAAGCAUAUGCUUGUAAUCAUCAACAAGCUUGAGAGUGCACUUCUCCACAAUUGUGGUGGUAUGCAGAGGUGACGGUUCUGCAGCCAAGGAUAAAGAACAGUUUUUUUUUUACAAUAAUGAAGCAGAUUCAGAUACAAGGACUAACAAUUUUCUUAACAAGAAAUCGAGAAAUUGAGAGUCACUUUCUCGUCUAAAACAUCAGAUGUCAGAUCCAUUUAUGUAGAUGAAGGACAUUUAAAUCAUAACUACCAUCGGAAACCAAUUUCACAUCAGUCAUGACUCAUGGGGAAAUUUCACUAAUUCCCACAUCAAAUUAAGGACUGAUAUUUUUAAAUGCUUAAAACCCAUGAAACAAAAUCAAAGUCAAAUAAUCAAAUUCUUUACACAAAUGAGUCAAAUUUGGAGACAUCACGGAUCAUAUGUGAAAGACGCACCGUUUUGGAGGUACGAGCCGUAUUUGGUGGCGGAGAGGUGCAUCUUGAUGUCGUCAAGGUUUUCACACUGGCACAGAUUGUUGUAAUCGGCGGUGGUGAGAAGCCCAGCACGGUGGCCCCUCACGAUCGCCUCCAAGUAUCCGCCAUGGAUGUUGAAUGUAAGCGCCUCGAAUCCGUACAUCCUUCAAUUCUUUCCCCUUCCGGAGAU